rnacentral:rRNA from 1 species
AGAGUUUGAUCAUGGCUCAGGACGAACGCUGGCGGCGUGCUUAACACAUGCAAGUGGAGCGACGAACCAGGGCUUGCCCUGGGGCAGAGCCGCGAACGGGUGAGUAACACGUGGGUAACCUGCCCCGAUGACCGGGACAACCCGAGGAAACUCGGGCUAAUACCGGAUGUUCUCGUUUCUCGUAAGGGAAUCGAGCAAAGAUAGCUUCGGCCUUCGCAUCGGGAGGGGCCCGCGGCCCAUUAGCUUGUUGGUGAGGUAAUGGCUCACCAAGGCUGCGAUGGGUAGCUGGUCUGAGAGGACGAUCAGCCACACUGGGACUGAGACACGGCCCAGACUCCUACGGGAGGCAGCAGUGGGGAAUCUUGCGCAAUGCGCGAAAGCGUGACGCAGCAACGCCGCGUGGGGGAAGAAGGCCUUCGGGUUGUAAACCCCUUUCAGAUGGGACGAAGCUUCGAGGGUUAAUAGCCUUCUGGAGUGACGGUACCUUCAGAAGAAGCCCCGGCUAACUACGUGCCAGCCGCCGCGGUAAUACA